rnacentral:rRNA from 1 species
CUACGGGAGGCAGCAGUGAGGAAUAUUGCGCAAUGGGGGAAACCCUGACGCAGCGACGCCGCGUGGAUGAUGAAGGCCUUAGGGUCGUAAAAUCCUGUCAGGUGGGAAGAAGUGGAUAUAGAUUAAUACUCUAUUUCUUUGACGGUACCACCAAAGGAAGCACCGGCUAACUCCGUGCCAGCAGCCGCGGUAAUACGGAGGGUGCAAACGUUGUUCGGAAUUACUGGGCGUAAAGCGCGCGUAGGCGGUUUGUUAAGUCAGAUGUGAAAGUACAUGGCUAAACUAUGGAAGUGCAUUUGAAACUGGCAGACUUGAGUACUGGAGGGUGUGAUGGAAUUCCCGGUGUAGAGGUGAAAUUCGUAGAUAUCGGGAGGAAUACCGGUGGCGAAGGCGAUCACCUGGCCAGAUACUGACGCUGAGGUGCGAAAGCGUGGGGAGCAAACAGGAUUAGAUACCCUAGUAGUC